GGGUUGUGAGGUUAAGCGACUAAGCGUACACGGUGGAUGCCCUGGCAGUCAGAGGCGAUGAAGGACGUGCUAAUCUGCGAUAAGCGUCGGUAAGGUGAUAUGAACCGUUAUAACCGGCGAUUUCCGAAUGGGGAAACCCAGUGUGAUUCGUCACACUAUCAUUAACUGAAUCCAUAGGUUAAUGAGGCGAACCGGGGGAACUGAAACAUCUAAGUACCCCGAGGAAAAGAAAUCAACCGAGAUUCCCCCAGUAGCGGCGAGCGAACGGGGAGGAGCCCAGAGCCUGAAUCAGUGUGUGUGUUAGUGGAAGCGUCUGGAAAGGCGCGCGAUACAGGGUGACAGCCCCGUACACAAAAAUGCACAUACUGUGAGCUCGAUGAGUAGGGCGGGACACGUGGUAUCCUGUCUGAAUAUGGGGGGACCAUCCUCCAAGGCUAAAUACUCCUGACUGACCGAUAGUGAACCAGUACCGUGAGGGAAAGGCGAAAAGAACCCCGGCGAGGGGAGUGAAAAAGAACCUGAAACCGUGUACGUACAAGCAGUGGGAGCCUCUUAAUGGGGUGACUGCGUACCUUUUGUAUAAUGGGUCAGCGACUUAUAUUCUGUAGCAAGGUUAACCGAAUAGGGGAGCCGAAGGGAAACCGAGUCUUAACUGGGCGUUAAGUUGCAGGGUAUAGACCCGAAACCCGGUGAUCUAGCCAUGGGCAGGUUGAAGGUUGGGUAACACUAACUGGAGGACCGAACCGACUAAUGUUGAAAAAUUAGCGGAUGACUUGUGGCUGGGGGUGAAAGGCCAAUCAAACCGGGAGAUAGCUGGUUCUCCCCGAAAGCUAUUUAGGUAGCGCCUCGUGAAUUCAUCUCCGGGGGUAGAGCACUGUUUCGGCAAGGGGGUCAUCCCGACUUACCAACCCGAUGCAAACUGCGAAUACCGGAGAAUGUUAUCACGGGAGACACACGGCGGGUGCUAACGUCCGUCGUGAAGAGGGAAACAACCCAGACCGCCAGCUAAGGUCCCAAAGUCAUGGUUAAGUGGGAAACGAUGUGGGAAGGCCCAGACAGCCAGGAUGUUGGCUUAGAAGCAGCCAUCAUUUAAAGAAAGCGUAAUAGCUCACUGGUCGAGUCGGCCUGCGCGGAAGAUGUAACGGGGCUAAACCAUGCACCGAAGCUGCGGCAGCGACGUUUAUGCGUUGUUGGGUAGGGGAGCGUUCUGUAAGCCUGUGAAGGUGUGCUGUGAGGCAUGCUGGAGGUAUCAGAAGUGCGAAUGCUGACAUAAGUAACGAUAAAGCGGGUGAAAAGCCCGCUCGCCGGAAGACCAAGGGUUCCUGUCCAACGUUAAUCGGGGCAGGGUGAGUCGACCCCUAAGGCGAGGCCGAAAGGCGUAGUCGAUGGGAAACAGGUUAAUAUUCCUGUACUUGGUGUUACUGCGAAGGGGGGACGGAGAAGGCUAUGUUGGCCGGGCGACGGUUGUCCCGGUUUAAGCGUGUAGGCUGGUUUUCCAGGCAAAUCCGGAAAACUAAGGCUGAGGCGUGAUGACGAGGCACUACGGUGCUGAAGCAACAAAUGCCCUGCUUCCAGGAAAAGCCUCUAAGCAUCAGGUAACAUCAAAUCGUACCCCAAACCGACACAGGUGGUCAGGUAGAGAAUACCAAGGCGCUUGAGAGAACUCGGGUGAAGGAACUAGGCAAAAUGGUGCCGUAACUUCGGGAGAAGGCACGCUGAUAUGUAGGUGAAGCGACUUGCUCGUGGAGCUGAAAUCAGUCGAAGAUACCAGCUGGCUGCAACUGUUUAUUAAAAACACAGCACUGUGCAAACACGAAAGUGGACGUAUACGGUGUGACGCCUGCCCGGUGCCGGAAGGUUAAUUGAUGGGUUAGCGGUAACGCGAAGCUCCUGAUCGAAGCCCCGGUAAACGGCGGCCGUAACUAUAACGGUCCUAAGGUAGCGAAAUUCCUUGUCGGGUAAGUUCCGACCUGCACGAAUGGCGUAAUGAUGGCCAGGCUGUCUCCACCCGAGACUCAGUGAAAUUGAACUCGCUGUGAAGAUGCAGUGUACCCGCGGCAAGACGGAAAGACCCCGUGAACCUUUACUAUAGCUUGACACUGAACAUUGAGCCUUGAUGUGUAGGAUAGGUGGGAGGCUUUGAAGUGUGGACGCCAGUCUGCAUGGAGCCGGCCUUGAAAUACCACCCUUUAAUGUUUGAUGUUCUAACGUUGGCCCCUGAUCGGGGUUGCGGACAGUGUCUGGUGGGUAGUUUGACUGGGGCGGUCUCCUCCUAAAGAGUAACGGAGGAGCACGAAGGUUGGCUAAUCCUGGUCGGACAUCAGGAGGUUAGUGCAAUGGCAUAAGCCAGCUUGACUGCGAGCGUGACGGCGCGAGCAGGUGCGAAAGCAGGUCAUAGUGAUCCGGUGGUUCUGAAUGGAAGGGCCAUCGCUCAACGGAUAAAAGGUACUCCGGGGAUAACAGGCUGAUACCGCCCAAGAGUUCAUAUCGACGGCGGUGUUUGGCACCUCGAUGUCGGCUCAUCACAUCCUGGGGCUGAAGUAGGUCCCAAGGGUAUGGCUGUUCGCCAUUUAAAGUGGUACGCGAGCUGGGUUUAGAACGUCGUGAGACAGUUCGGUCCCUAUCUGCCGUGGGCGCUGGAGAACUGAGGGGGCUGCUCCUAGUACGAGAGGACCGGAGUGGACGCAUCACUGGUGUUCGGGUUGUCAUGCCAAUGGCACUGCCCGGUAGCUAAAUGCGGAAGAGAUAAGUGCUGAAAGCAUCUAAGCACGAAACUUGCCCCGAGAUGAGUUCUCCCUGACUCCUUGAGAGUCCUGAAGGAACGUUGAAGACGACGACGUUGAUAGGCCGGGUGUGUAAGCGCAGCGAUGCGUUGAGCUAACCGGUACUAAUGAACCGUGAGGCUUAACCUUACAACGCCGAAGGUGUUU
rnacentral:rRNA from 1 species